rnacentral:rRNA from 1 species
UACGUAGGUGGCGAGCGUUGUCCGGAUUUAUUGGGCGUAAAGAGCGUGUAGGCGGCUUGGAAGGUCAGCUGUGAAAACUCGAGGCUCAACCUCGAGACGUCGGUUGAAACCACCUGGCUAGAGUCCGGAAGAGGAGUGUGGAAUUCCCGGUGUAGCGGUGAAAUGCGCAGAUAUCGGGAAGAACACCCGUGGCGAAGGCGGCACUCUGGGACGGUACUGACGCUGAGACGCGAAAGCGUGGGGAGCGAACAGG